rnacentral:rRNA from 1 species
GCCCGACAGGGUUGAUAGUACCAGAAGAGGAAGGGACGGCUAACUUCGUGCCAGCAGCCGCGGUAAUACGAAGGUCCCAAGCG